rnacentral:lncRNA from 1 species
AUGCAACCCCCACCCCGAAAUAAAAGUUGCCUGCCUGUGCAUCACUUUGCAGACAGGCGACAGGCUCCGACAGAGCGCUCGGUACAGUGGCCGCUAGAUAAUGAGCGCUCCCUGGCUGCCGCGAUUCUGAAAAGUCCCCGGGGGGGGGGGGCAACUCACCUGUCCGGGGCUGGCGAGGGGAGCCGCGGGCUAGCCAGGGAGGGGGCCGGACCACCCGGGAGAGCAGCAGAGAUGGGGGAGGCGUCUCGACGCGUCCCGGAUUUCCGCAGCCGGAGCGAUAGUCCGGCCCUCUCCGGGGGGCUUCUCGCCCGCGUCCGAAGGAGCAUCGCUGGGCCUCGAUGCCGUCGGAGGAAUUCAGCCGCAGAGGCAAAAAGUCCCCGCGGUUUGCACUGCCAGCUCCACCGGAAUCCCUCCCAAAUACCAUACGGCUUCCCGCGGCAACCAGGAAAAUGUGAGCUCCCCUGUUGAGGACAUCGAACACGUGUGGCGGUUACUUACUCCAUGCUGACGUCAUCUUAUAUUUCACUCCCCACGUCCUCUUCUGCUUCAGAGUUCGUCUUCACCACUCCAAACAGUCAGGGCGGUCGUCGCAGUUCGUGUUCUUCCGAAGAAAACUAAAAUGGGAAGCGUAAAGCGGUUUCGAACAGCGGACCCCUCUCUGGGUGUGGUUGAGCAAAUCCGACGCGUUCGAGAGAAUCGGGAACUGUUCGGACGCAAUCAACAUUCACUAAUUUAGCCCCGUUCGAGCUCUCUGGUCCCCUCUCAACCCUAAUCGGACUGGAGAACGCAACCCACCCUAGAAGUAGGAUUUAUUGAGCGCCCUGCUUGGGGCCGUGCGCUCCACUGGAUGCUUGGAAAAUAUACAAUAACAAAAUGGGAUCAAGAUACGAUCAGGUAACCGUUUUUAUUGUCCCUCUGAGGCUCAGGUGCUAGACACCUUGCAGGCCAUAUAAAAUAAAAUAACUAAAAAAUAAGUGUUGGUAUUGGUUAAGCGCUCACUACGUGCAGAGCACUGCUCUAAGCGCUGGGGUAGAUCCAGGGUCAUCAGGUCGUCCCUCGUGAGGCUCACAGUCUCAUCCCCAUUUUCCAGAUGAGGUCACUGAGGAACAGAGAAGUGAAGCGACUCGCCCACAGUCACCCAGCUGACGGGUGGCGGAGCCGGGAUUCGAGCCCAUGACCUCUGACUCCCAAGCCCGGGCUCUUGCCACUGAGCCCCGCUGCUUCUCCUAAAUAAUCAAUAAAUGAUAAUAAAAUACCAGAAUAAAUCUGGUACUAAGUGCUGGGGAGUGUACAGUAGCAGUAAUAGUGUUUAUUAAGGGUUCACUGCGUGCCAAGCACUGUACUAAGCACUGGGAAAUAGUACACAAGGGGAAAUUAGACCCGCGAGCCCUAACCUUCGAGGGGCUCGCAAUCUAGCAGUGCGGUCCAGGGGGCAGAGCAUGGUCCUGGGAGUCAAAAGGCCCCAGGUCCUCAUCCCAGUUCUGCCACCUGACGUCUGUAUGACCUCGGGCAAGUCACUUCACUUCUCUGUACCUCAAUCCCCUCAUCUUUAAAAUGGGGAUUGAGACCGUGAACCCCAUACGGGACGGUGUCCGACCUGAUCCACUUGUAGCUACCCCAGCGUUUGAUACAGUGCCUGGCACACAGUAAGCGCUUAAAUGCUAUAACAAAAAUAGAUCUACAGUAGAGUUGAUAAGACGCUAUCUCUGCCCUCGAGGAGUUUACAGUCUACUUCGGUUUAUACAAGUCAAUGGGGGGUUUUUUUUCGGUAACUUGACUGGCUGUUGAUACCGAAUGGGAUCGUCUUACCUAGAGAGAGGGAGCAGCCGGCAUCUGCCUCGAAGACCUCCUUGCCCUGACUCUCUUAACAGUGCCGACCCGAAAUGGUAGGAGAUCACAAAUCCCGUACGGAAGCGGCGGCGACGACACCGGAGGCUUGCGUAAGGACGCCGGGAAAUCUCCCUCGGGAUCGUCACCGUCGGCCUCCCUCUUCACGAUGGACAGCUUGAUAGGAUCGGAUGAAAUUAAGUCAAAUAGAAAUCUCACCCACAGCUUCCUUUCUGCAUUCCCCCGCUAAGAGUUGGCAAAGCAGGGAGGUGAGCAGGGAAGACGAGAGAAAUUUGAGACUGUGAUAGUCUGCCUUCGGACAAGCGCCGGCAAUCCCUGGGCUUUUAGUCUCAGCUUCCUACUACAUAGAUGAACCAGUUCGGCCUACUGGGAAGAGCCUAGGCCUUAGAGUCGGGGGACUUUGACUCCUUUUGGCAUCUGUCAAGUGCUCACCAUGUGCCAGGCACCGUACCAAACACUGGAGUAGAUUGAAGAGAAUAGGGAUGGACACAGUCCACUUGGGGCUCCCUGUCUCAAUCCCCGUUUUAGAGAUGAGGCACAGAGAAGUUAAGUUACUCGCCCCAAAACACACAGCAGCCAAGUGACAGAACCAGGAUCAGAACCCAAAUCCUCUGUCUCCCAGGACUGUGCCCUUUCCACGCGGUCACGUUGCUAAAUCCGGUCCGAUCCUGGUUCUGCCCCUUGCCUGUCGUGUGAGCUUGGGCGAGUCGCUUCGCUUCUCUAUGCCUCGGUUUGCUCAUCUCUAAAAUGGGGACUCCAUACGGGUUCUCCUUCCUACCUAGACUGGGGGCACCGUGAGGGAUAGGGACCGGGCCUGACCCGAUCGUCUUAUAUCUGCCUUACGGCUUAAAAUAGUGUUUGGGAACAUGGUAAGCAAUCAGUGGUAUUUCUUGAGCGCUUACUGCGUGCAGAGCACUCUACUAAGUAUUUAAUAAUACACGCUUAUUAACAUGUCACAGUUAUUAAGCAAAGGUUGAUCCUACGAAGUCCACUCUCUCGGGAGAUCAGAUUUCCCAUCGGUCAACGUAACGACGAUGGUAUCCGUUAGGCGCUGUACGAAACCCCGGGGUGGAUACAGGCAAAUCGAGGGAGCCCCGUCCCACGUGGGGCUCACGUUCUCAAUCUCCAUUUUGACAGCUGAGCGGGCGUAGAAAAGUAAAGCCACUUGCCCCGGGUCACAGAGAAGACAAAUGGCAGACCCGGGAUUAGAAGCCAUGACCUUCUGACUCCCAGGGGCGUGCUCUAUCCGCUACACUAUCCAAGGCGAUCUUAGCACGUAUCAUGAGCCAAACUCUGAACUAGACGCAGAAGAAUCACGUCGGGCCUAUUUCCUGUCUCACGAGGAACUCCGUCUAAGUGGGAGAGCAGAGCCCAGUACAGUGUUUCACGCUCGGUAAGUGCUCAGUAAAUACGAUCGAAUGAAUACGCGACGGUCCCAUCCCCCAUCUUACAGAUGAGGAGACCGAGUCACGGAGCAGUUAAGGGACUUGCCUCAAAUCCCACAGCUGUAGGGAGCGACAUUUAGUCCCGAAGCACGUCGGAACCACCAAUCUCUCGGCACUGGGGAAGCCGAGACCAAUAUCUGCGGGGAGCACAGCCGGAUCACCUCAGCUCCUGGUUCAGUCUUGAAUCUGAACCCCAAAACCCGUAUCCGCUCCGAGUCAGCUUCCAGCGGUGACACUCCUUUCUCCCGGUGUCGCUUCCCGGGGCUCAGCUGAUUCCAGAAACGGAUGCCUCCGGAUACAGUGUUUGGGCACAAUGGGGAAUCUUCUUUUAAAACCGCGUGUAAGAGCGAAUUGACUCUGCUUAUUUUUGAUGUCCAGCGAAGCUUUAGACAGCCAUUUAAUCAUUAUUGCAGCUACAGUUCUGCUCCUCUCUGGAGAAGCUUAAAACAUGUCAGAAAGGGAGGCAGCAUAAUGGCUCUGACAGGGUUUGAGAGGGAGCGAUUAAAUUUAAGAUAACGAGUUCUGUUGAAAUUUUAAUGUUAUUGUAACAAUCCGGGCCUGCUGGAGCCGGUUUCAUUCUCCAGAUCCGAAAUUAAAAUGUGCAACUGGGAACUGUGCUGAGUUUUAUUUGCCCUUCUGCC